GCCGCCGUAGCUAAGCCCGGUAUAGCGGCGGUCAGGCCAAAGAUAAACCCCGGGAAUUCAAAUCCCGGCGGCGGCG
rnacentral:tRNA from 1 species